rnacentral:lncRNA from 1 species
AACAAAGAGAGGAAUAGUCAGGUUGGAUAGAACCUGUAAUUUUAUUUUUUUCCUAACAAGAAAGAACAAUAAAAAUCACGAGAACAACCCCGCCUAACUGAUCCAAGUGGUACGACUGGAACACGAAAAGGUUGUAGUCAAGUCUUCAGGAUAUAAGGUUUUAACACAAUAGAAAAUAACCAGCAUAUAUAAUUUCCUAUGCGAGAUUAACUUCAAUACUUCAUCCACAUUUGUAGGAAGGACUACGCUAGUACCAAUAUUAUCAUGAAGAGCAUGAAUAAAAGAGGUUAUAGAGUCCACCGUUUGGUCCGUGCCAUCAACAGCUGAGGGUGUAGACUCAUAAAAUAACAAAUACCCGAUGAUAGGCAUUGCCAGUCCAGUGCUAUGAACAUGCUGCCAUGUCCGGGAUUCAGAUAAUAAUAGAAUACCGACCAAAUGAAAAUUGUAAGCAUACAGAUUUCAUGUAUUCUUUAUUUGCAUUUUAUGUCUGCUCAUAAUUUAUUCUCAGUUUUACGUAUUAGAAGUCAUGCCACAAUAGAAAAUUUUCUAAUUUAAUUAUGAAUAUGUUAAUAAAUUACAUUCAUGAAGACUGAAAAUCAAGAAAUGAGAUUAAGAUAACAUCAGCAUGUACAGUAAAGGGUGAAAACGAAGUGGUGCAAUCUGUGAUCCCGCCGGUGCCUUCGGCUCUUGUUCCAAUUGUGUUCCGGGCUAGCUCGUCACAAACCCUAAUCCCUCCCUCUCCAAUUGUGUGUCAGCUCUCUUUGCAAAGGAGAGGAGGUCUGUGCUGAUCCGUUCGAUCCCAUAAUUCCCUUCUCCGGUGAAGAUAGCGGGAGUGUGUUGCUCCAGGGAGGACGAUGAGUCUGAUGCAGGAAAGCGUGCAAAGCAUAGCUUGGCAGUCGUCCCGUUUCAGCUUGAACCCGAAGAUUUAGGGUUCGUGGUGGGAACAAAUGGUGCCCCAGGCAUCCUAAAAAAGUCACCAAAGAAGAGAGGCCGCCCACACGGCAGCAGGAACAAGAAGAAGAUUUAGGACACGACCUCGGAAGCAUUUGGUUCAGGUAUGGUCGAGCAAGAAGAGUCUUCGGAGGCAAGGGAGGAGUAGUGUUGUUCUGUACGUAACAAGGACAAAGACCUCUACAUGACUUACUCAGAGAUUCCCCUACUCAUUAGCGAAAGGUACACCGUUGGGUCUUAGGUUUCGAGUUGAUGUUUAGGUCUCUGAGUUUAUUUUGUGUAGGUUCAUUGCUUUUUAGUUUUGCUGUAUUCGUCUACUUUUUUGGACAGCUUUAUGGUUUUCCCUUUUAGACUUUUAGUAUUAGUUGUUGUAGAAUAAAGAGUGUACACUCUUAAUCUUGUAUGAGAGUUUACUUCUGCCUCACCUAGUAAUAUUUGGUCGUAUGGCUUAUUGUCAAUGAAGUUAUUCAUUCCAAAAACAAAAAACAAAAAAACAAAAUAACUUAUGCAACUAAUCCUUAAAACUUUUAUUGGUAACCAACAUAUCUGAUACUUUAUUUUUUU